rnacentral:lncRNA from 1 species
CAAACAAUGAAUCUUGAAACGGUUUGCACAAAAAACGAAGAGUUUGAAUUUUUUAAAAACACUUCAUUUAAACCAUUAAACAUAAAUCAAGGACGACGCCGUUUGUGACAAAUAAAAAUAGGGUUGUCUUCUUCAUUCGUGAACCAGAGCCUCCAUCAGCGACACACCUCUGCAACUCCUCCUCUACAACACAGUGUGUGCCUCAAUCGUGUAACUUGCCAUUUGCGAUUUCAGGAGGCCUCAGAUCGUCGCACUCAACGAGAUGCGCCUUGAUAACACCUUUUAAAACGCUAGAGAGCAAAGGGGCAAAUCCAGCACAUCCAUGGCUUUUUCCGGCGAGGGGAGGUGCAACUGCACCUCCUUGCGCCUCUGUAGGUCCGCCAUUGAUUACAUC